rnacentral:rRNA from 1 species
AGUUCGAUCAUGGCUCAGAUUGAACGCUGGCGGGAUGCUUUACACAUACCGUCGAACGGCACGGACUUCGGUCUGGUGGCGAGUGGCGAACGGGUGAGUAAUGUAUCGGAACGUGCCUAGUAGCGGGGGAUAACUGCGAAAGCGUAGCUAAUACCGCAUACGCCCUUCGGGGGAAAGCGGGGGACCUUCGGGCCUCGCACUAUUAGAGCGGCCGAUAUCGGAUUAGCUGAGUUGGUGGGGUAACGGCUCACCAAGGCGACGAUCCGUAGCUGGUUUGAGAGGACGACCAGCCACACUGGGACUGAGACACGGCCCAGACUCCUGCAGGAGGCAGCAGUGGGGAAUUUUGGACAAUGGGGAAACCUGAUCCAGCCAUCCCGUGUGCGAUGAAGGCCUUCGGGUUGUAAAGCACUUUUGGCAGGAAAGAAACGACACGGGAUAAUACCCCGUGCAACUGACGGUACCUGCAGAAUAAGCACCGGCUAACUACGUGCCAGCCGCGGUGACCGUAAGUGCAAGCGGCGUUAAUCGGAAAUACUGGGCGUAAAGCGUGCGCAGGCGGUUCGGAAAGAAAGAUGUGAAAUCCCAGAGCUUAACUGGGAACUGCAUUUUUAACUACCGAGCUAGAGUGUGUCAGAGGAGGUGGGUCCGCGUGUAGCAGUGAAAUGCGUAGAUAUGCGGGAGGAACACCGAUAGCAGAGAAGGCAGCCUCCUGGGAUAACACUGACGCUCAUGCACGAAAGCGUGGAGGGCAAACAGGAUUAGAUACCCUGGUAGUCCACGCCCUAAACGAUGUCAACUAGCUGUUGGGGCCUUCCGGGCCUUGGUAGCGCAACUAACGCGUGAAGUUGACCGCCUGGGAAGUACGGUCGCAAGAUUAAAACUCAAAGGAAUUGACGGGGACCCGCACAAGCGGUGGAUGAUGUGGAUUAAUUCGAUGCAACGCGAAAAACCUUACCUACCCUUGACAUGUCUGGAAUCCCGAAGAGAUUUGGGAGUGCUCGCAAAGAGAACCGGAACACAGGUGCUGUAUGGCUGUCGUCAGCUCGUGUCGUGAGAUGUUGGGUUAAGUCCCGCAACGAGCGCAACCCUUGUCAUUAGUUGCUACGAAAGGGCACUCUAAUGAGACUGCCGGUGACAAACCGGAGGAAGGUGGGGAUGACGUCAAGUCCUCAUGGCCCUUAUGGGUAGGGCUUCACACGUCAUACAAUGGUCGGGACAGAGGGUCGCCAACCCGCGAGGAAGACAAUCCCAGAAACCCGAUCGUAGUCCGGAUCGCAGUCUGCAACUCGACUGCGUGAAGUCGGAAUCGCUAGUAAUCGCGGAUCAGCAUGUCGCGGUGAAUACGUUCCCGGGUCUUGUACACACCGCCCGUCACACCAUGGGAGUGGGUUUUACCAGAAGUAGUUAGCCUAACCGUAAGGAGGGCGAUUACCGGUAGGAUUCAUGACUGGGGUGAAGUCGUAACAAGGUAA